rnacentral:lncRNA from 1 species
CAAGAAUGAAAAGAAAUCACUAUCAUCCUCUGUUAUUAAAGAAUUAACGUCGUCACCAUAAAAAAAGUAAGUCACUAUCAGUUAUUGCUUCACAAUUUCUACAAAUGAUGAAAGAUCACUAUCUUUGAAAUCUGAUUCACGAAGAUUAUAUGUGUUGGCAUCUCUAUCGUUGAAGGAAAAUGAUGGAGCUAAUCCAAUAGUGUUAU